AAGAUUUGUGUUCGGCGAGGAUGUUAGAGCGGACUCACUCUGAAUGGUGAAUUGCUGGGGCUCAAUGAUGGAUUUGAGACGUCAGUGUGCUUGUGUGAAGAAAUGGGAAGGCCUUCCCUUUUAUAUCUCAAGGGAAGCGCCUUACAUUGGCAUCCACCUUAGAGGAAGAGAGAGAGAGAGAGAUUUCCAAUCGAUGUGGUGGGCCCCUCGUAAGGUCGAGCGCGGCAAUGCUCCCGGUAUGGCGUCGUCCGUCACGCCCAUCCCUGUAGGAGUGUGGUUGCUCGGGCAAGCUCUUCCUGCUGACUGGGGGAGGUCGCUAGCCUAAUCCUCGAACUCGUCGAAGUCCUGGAACUCUUGGAGAUUCGCCUCGACACUUUCUUCUUCUUCUUUACGUGAGCAUAGAUUGCACCAACGGAAACCUGGUGUUUUGUGAAAGCAAGGGUGAGUACACAUCAACGUACUCAGCAAAUGUCUCGUUUGGCUGAGGUGGACUAGCUUUAUGUGGAGUUAGAUCAAGCAGUUGCUUUUAGUUCGUC